UACAGAGGUCCCGAGCGUUGUUCGGAUUCAUUGGGCGUAAAGGGUGCGUAGGCGGCGGGGCAAGUCUGAUGUGAAAUCCCGGGGCUCAACCCCGGAACUGCAUUGGAUACUGCCUUGCUCGAGUACUGGAGAGGGAACUGGAAUUUACGGUGUAGCAGUGAAAUGCGUAGAGAUCGUAAGGAAGGCCAGUGGCGAAGGCGAGUUCCUGGACAGAUACUGACGCUGAGGCACGAAGGCCAGGGGAGCAAACGGG
rnacentral:rRNA from 1 species